AUUGAACGCUGGCGGCAGGCCUAACACAUGCAAGUCGAACGAGUGGCGGACGGGUGAGUAAUGUCUGGGAAACUGCCUGAUGGAGGGGGAUAACUACUGGAAACGGUAGCUAAUACCGCAUACUAGUAGAUGGACCUGCGUUGUAUUAGCUAGUAGGUAGGGUAAUGGCCUACCUAGGCGACGAUACAUAGCCGACCUGAGAGGAUGAUCAGUCACACUGGAACUGAGACACGGGCAAGACUCCGACGGGAGGCAGCAGUGGGGAAUAUUGGACAAUGGGCGAAAGCCUGAUCCAGCCAUGCCGCGUGUGUGAAGAAGGUCUUCGGAUUGUAAAGCACUUUAAGUUGGGAGGCGUUACCAACAGAAUAAGCACCGGCUAACUUCGUGCCAGCAGCCGCGGUAAUUC
rnacentral:rRNA from 1 species